UCUCCUAUAUGUGAUGUAUCUUCAGGGCGGCAGCUUAAGUUCCUAAAAACACACUGUGGAAUCUUGGUGUUCAG